CUACGGGGGGCAGCAGUGGGGAAUAUUGGACAAUGGGGGAAACCCUGAUCCAGCAAUGCCGCGUGUGUGAAGAAGGCCUGCGGGUUGUAAAGCACUUUCGGUUGGGAGGACUGCUUCUAGCACUAAUAUUGUUGGAAGUUGACGUUACCUUCAGAAGAAGCACCGGGUAACUCCGUGCCAGCAGCCGCGGUAAUACGGAGGGUGCAAGCGUUAAUCGGAAUUACUGGGCGUAAAGCGCGCGUAGGCGGCUAGAUCAGUCGGGUGUGAAAGCCCCGGGCUUAACCUGGGAACUGCAUCCGAUACUGUCGAGAUUGAGUACAGGAGAGGAGAGUGGAAUUCCACAUGUAGCGGUGAAAUGCGUAGAUAUGUGGAGGAACACCAAUGGCGAAGGCAGCUCUCUGGCCUGAUACUGACGCUGAGGUACGAAAGCGUGGGUAGCAAACAGGAUUAGAUACCCCAGUAGUC
rnacentral:rRNA from 1 species